rnacentral:rRNA from 1 species
GAUGACGCUAGCUACAGGCUUAACACAUGCAAGUCGAGGGAGUGGCGGACGGGUGAGUAAUGUCUGGGAAACUGCCUGAUGGAGGGGGAUAACUACUGGAAACGGUAGCUAAUACCGCAUACCAUCAGAUGUGCCCAGAUGGGAUUAGCUAGUAGGUGGGGUAAUGGCUCACCUAGGCGACGAGCCCGAGCUGGUCUGGGAGGAUGACCAGCCACACUGGAACUGAGACACGGUCCAGACUCCUACGGGAGGCAGCAGUGGGGAAUAUUGCACAAUGGGCGCAAGCCUGAUGCAGCCAUGCCGCGUGUGUGAAGAAGGCCUUCGGGUUGUAAAGCACUUUCAGCGAGGAGGCGUUACUCGCAGAAGAAGCACCGGCUAACUCUGUGCCAGCAGCCGCGGUAAUAC